rfam:Chlorocebus sabaeus isolate 1994-021 chromosome 26, whole genome shotgun sequence.
AUAGCUUCUCAGCCUUCUGGCUAAGAUCAAGUGUAGUUUUAUUUUUAUCAGUUUAAUAUCUGGAAUGUCUUCUAUCCAAAGACAAUUUUGUUUGUUUUGUUUUGUUUUGUUUUUGAGACGGAGUUUCGCUCUUGUUGCUCAGACUACAGUGCAAUGGCAUGAUCUCGACUCACCACAACCUCU